rnacentral:rRNA from 1 species
CCUACGGGAGGCAGCAGUGAGGAAUAUUGGUCAAUGGCCGUAAGGCUGAACCAGCCAAGUCGCGUGAAAGAAGAAGGAUCUCUGGUUUGUAAACUACUUUUAUAGGGGAAUAAAGGUAUCCACGUGUGGAUAUUUGCAUUUACCCUAUGAAUAAGCAUCGGCUAACUCCGUGCCAGCAGCCGCGGUAAUACGGAGGAUGCGAGCGUUAUCCGGAUUUAUUGGGUUUAAAGGGUGCGUAGGUUGUUUUUUAAGUCAGCGGUGAAAGUUUGUGGCUCAACCAUAAAAUUGCCGUUGAAACUGGAAGACGUGAGUGUGUUUGAGGUAGGCGGAAUGCGUGGUGUAGCGGUGAAAUGCAUAGAUAUCACGCAGAACUCCGAUUGCGAAGGCAGCUUACUAAGCCAUAACUGACACUGAAGCACGAAAGCGUGGGGAUCAAACAGGAUUAGAUACCCCAGUAGUC